rnacentral:SRP_RNA from 1 species
GUUAAGCACAAUGGCACAUGCCUGUAACUCCAGGUGCUGGGGAAGUUGAGGCUAGUGGAUCUCCUGAGCUUGGGAGUUUUGAGCCGCAGUGGGCACCAUUUAGGUGUCCACAGUAAGUUCAGCAUUUAUAUGGUGAGACCUCCAGAAGUAAAAGGCUACCAGAUUGCUUAAGAAGGCAUGAAUCAGCUCAAACAAGAAAUGAAGUAAGUCAAAGAUUGUGUGCUGAUUAGUAGUGGGAUUAGGCUCAAGUAGCCUCUGUACUUCCAGCCUGAAUGGGAAAGGGAGACACCCAGCCUUU